UUCUUUUCGAUUGUAGGAAGAGUUAGGCGUGCGGCUGCUGUUGGGGAUAGGGAGGGAAUGAUGAAGAAUGUUGUUCCCUGGAGGAAUAAGUUUUACACUGGUUCAGCUGCUUUCUCUUUGUCAAACGUUAUUUUGUCUGAGAGUUAAUACAGUGGCCACGUUCCUGUGAGUGUGAUAACUGAUCUGUAAUGGCUUCUU